CACGUAGGCGGCAUAGCAAGUUAAGGGUGAAAUCCCGGGGCUCAACUCCGGAACUGCUCUUAAAACUGCUAAGCUAGAGAUAGUCAGAGGCGGGUGGAAUUCCUGGUGUAGAGGUGAAAUUCGUAGAUAUCAGGAGGAACACCGGUGGCGAAGGCGGCCCGCUGGGGCUAUUCUGACGCUGAGGUGCGAAAGCGUGGGGAGCGAAC
rnacentral:rRNA from 1 species